rnacentral:rRNA from 1 species
GCGGAGGAAAAAGAAACCAACAGGAUUGCCCUAGUAACGGCGAGUGAAGCGGCACAGCUCAAAUUUGAAAGCUGGCCUUCGGGUCCGCAUUGUAAUUUGUAGAGGAUGCUUUGGGUAAAACGCCAGUCUAAGUUCCCUUGGAACAGGACGUCAUAGAGGGUGAGAAUCCCGUAUGUGACUGGAAAUGUUAACCUAUGUAAAGCUCCUUCGACGAGUCGAGUUGUUUGGGAAUGCAGCUCUAAAUGGGAGGUAAAUUUCUUCUAAAGCUAAAUAUUGGCGAGAGACCGAUAGCGCACAAGUAGAGUGAUCGAAAGAUGAAAAGCACUUUGGAAAGAGAGUUAAAAAGCACGUGAAAUUGUUGAAAGGGAAGCGCUUGCAAUCAGACUUGUUUAAACUGUUCGGCCGGUCUUCUGACCGGUUUACUCAGUUUGGACAGGCCAGCAUCAGUUUCGGCGGCCGGAUAAAGGCUCUGGGAAUGUGGCCUCCACUUCGGUGGAGGUGUUAUAGCCCAGUGUGUAAUACGGCCAGCCGGGACUGAGGUCCGCGCUUCGGCUAGGAUGCUGGCGUAAUGGUUGUAAGCGACCCGU